UGGGACGUGGCCAAGCGGUAAGGCACUGGGUUCUGGUCCCAGGAUCGUAGGUUCGAAUCCUACCGUCCCAGCCA
rnacentral:tRNA from 2 species